rnacentral:rRNA from 1 species
ACGGGAGGCAGCAGUGAGGAAUAUUGCGCAAUGGAGGAAACUCUGACGCAGCGACGCCGCGUGAAGGAAGAAGGUCUUCGGAUUGUAAACUUCUGUCCUCAGGGAAGAAAUAAAUGACGGUACCUGGGGAGGAAGCCCCGGCUAACUACGUGCCAGCAGCCGCGGUAAUACGUAGGGGGCGAGCGUUGUCCGGAAUUAUUGGGUGUAAAGGGCGCGUAGGCGGCUCUGUAAGUCAAACGUGAAAACUACAUGCUUAACUUGUAGCCUGCGUUUGAUACUGUGGGGCUUGAGUAAAGUAGAGGCAAGUGGAAUUUCCAGUGUAGCGGUGAAAUGCGUAGAUAUUGGAAGGAACACCAGUGGCGAAGGCGACUUGCUGGGCUUUCACUGACGCUGAGGCGCGAAAGCGUGGGUAGCAAACAGGAUUAGAUACCCUGGUA